rnacentral:tRNA from 1 species
GUGGGUGUACCUCAGUUGGUGAGAGCGCCAGGUUGUGGCCCUGGAGGUCGUGGGGUCGAGUCCCAUCACUCGCCCCA